GUCCCUUCAGCGGGAGCCUGGCCGCUCCGCGCGCUCAGGCUGCCGUGCAUUCCCAGGAGGAGCGCGCCGAGUCUGUUCUCACAACAAAGACUCGGCUGAAGGGGGAGAAAAAUAAAAAAUCUUCGGCCUCAUUGCCGGGGCUUUUACAAUCAAGAAGUAGAAACCUUGUUUCGAAGUCGAAGCUGAUGAGAGCUUGCCCCGUAGUAGAUGAGAUGUGAGGCUCCGUGUCUGCAGAGGGAGAGAUGGAGACAGCGCUCUCUGCUCACUGCGGCUCUCCGUCACCAGAGAAUCCUCACUCCGCCACCUGACAAGAAAGGCCCGCAGCCGGGAACAGCCUUGCUGCCAGCGAAAAACAACUGCUACCAAUUCAGGGGCCACCUGUUCAGUCCCUGGUCCAGAAGAUCCCACGUGCCACAGAGCAAGUGAGCUUUGGACUGCAGCUACUCAGCCCGAGCGCCAGAGCCAGCAGGCCGCAGCUGCUGAAACCUGCGGGCCCGAAGCGCGCACUCGGCAACGAGAAGCCCUGGCAGGGAGGAGGCCUCACUGCGACUGGGGAGCAGCCCCUGCUUGCUGCAACAGGAGAAAAGCCCAUGCAGCAACUAAGACCUGGUACAGCUAAUAUGAAAGUAAUAAUACAUGAACUUUAAAAAUA